rnacentral:rRNA from 1 species
GCAAGUCGAGCGGCAAGUCGAGGAGUAAUCUGAGACCUAGAGCGGCGCACGGGUGCGUAACGCGUAUGCAACCUACCUUAUACUGGGGGAUAGCCCGGAGAAAUCUGGAUUAAUACCCCAUGGUACAUAUUGAGGGCAUCUGAGAUAUGUUAAAGAUUUAUUGGUAUGAGAUGGGCAUGCGUCUGAUUAGCUAGUUGGCGGGGUAACGGCCCACCAAGGCGACGAUCAGUAGGGGUUCUGAGAGGAAAGUCCCCCACACUGGCACUGAGAUACGGGCCAGACUCCUACGGGAGGCAGCAGUAGGGAAUAUUGGGCAAUGGUCGGAAGACUGACCCAGCCAUGCCGCGUGCAGGAAGACGGCCCUCUGGGUUGUAAACUGCUUUUAUCUGGGAAGAAAAAGGCCAUGCGUGGCAUAUUGCCGGUACCAGAUGAAUAAGCACCGGCUAACUCCGUGCCAGCAGCCGCGGUAAUACGGAGGGUGCAAGCGUUGUCCGGAUUUUUUGGGUUUAAAGGGUGCGUAGGCGGCUAUUUAAGUCAGCGGUGAAAGACUUCAGCUUAACUGGAGCAGUGCCUUUGAUACUGGAUAGCUUGAGUGUUGGAGG